CAGCCCACACGUGGCCUUGGGUAUCCCCUGCUUCUUUGCCUGCCUCUCUUCUGCCCACGCUGCAUAUCUCUGUCUCCCACUGUCCCCACUAUGACCACGAUUGCCUCUCCCUCCCUGCUCUCUCUCUCUCCUAGGGCUCCUUGUCUUGGGUAAAGGAACCCACAGCCUUUACAUUGUGAUUGGGCAGUCUCAUGCUUCUGUCAAGGGGACUUUCCCACCGUUGCUCCUUUGCAGGGAGACUAAGUGGACUCUUCUAUUCCCUGGCCAUCA
rnacentral:lncRNA from 1 species